CCCUUAGAUGUUCUGGGCCGCACGCGAGCUACACUGAUGCAUUCAACGAGUCUAAAACCUGCUCUGAUAGGGGUGGGUAAUCUUUUGAAUGUGCAUCGUGAUUGGGAUAGAUGAUUGCAAUUUUUCAUCUUCAACGAGGAAUGCCUAGUAAACGCAAGUCAUCAGCUUGCAUUGAUUACGUCCCUGCCCUUUGUACACACCGCCCGUCGCUCCUACCGAUUGAAUGAUCCGAUGAAUAUCAUGGAUUGAGGAUUAUAGCAGGUUCGCCUGUCUUGAUCUUCGAGAAGUGAAGUAAAUCUUAUCAUUUAGAGGAAGGAGAAGUCGUAACA
rnacentral:rRNA from 1 species